GCACGGGACAAGUUGCGCGUGAGGGACUGUCCCGGUCUGCUCAAUCCCCUGCCCCAUCUUAUCUCUUACUCCCACGCCACACUCCCACCUAAACCUAGGUCACCCGCCGCUGCCGCCGCCGUUCUCUGACCUGCCUGCCGAUUUGCUCGCGCUGCCUCCUUUCCCAUCAACGGUGGCACUUCCCGAAGCUUCCUUCUACCAUGUGGUGCUUCCCCACGGUCCAAGCCCAAGGUGCCGCCUCAUCGUCGCAGCAGAGGAUCCCCUCCACCGCACAUAGCCGAGGAGUCAAGUCGACCGCCGUCGAGGAUCCGCGCCGCCAACCGCCAGCGUGUAGUUGACCGCCGCCGAGCAGCCUCGCCGUACUCCCUCAAGAUCCAGGCCACUGUAGGUAAGAUUCAUCAGGCUGAUGUGCUCAUGCCUCUGCUUCUCUGACUACCUGCAGUGCCACCUGAAGGUUCGAUCUAACCCACGGUGACGCUGUCCGCAACUGAGGAGCCACCCUGCCCUCUGCAUUCAGAGGUUCUGCCCCGCCAUCCCUUUUGCACCACCAGUGAGGGCCCCAAAAUUCAGCCCCUGCAGCCUGCAAGGAUCCCCAACCAUGCUGGGUGCUAAUGCCCGAGUCUAGCAAAGCAUCAUUGUGCACUUCUAGAACAACUAUCAUGGAAGUAUGGAACUAAUGCUAGCAAAACUACUCUGUGUUAUCGCCUGAGGAAAAAGAUGGAACUUUAUUUUCCUGCCCAACAUUCUUUUGGAAUCUCCUUUUUUAUAUGCCAUGCUUUUUCAAGCUAGUACAGAUAAAGAUCUAGCCACAAAGAUAAGGUAAUUUGUUUCUAAUCUACUACACCUUAUAUAUUCAGAGGUACAAAGGGAGCUUCUAUAUAUGAUUUUAUUCUCAAUUCCAACAUAAUUGUUCAGUUGAGCUACUGAACUUGCUGACAGGAAAAUGCUCAGGGGUAACAACUUGAAAAUUUUCUAGGUAACCAAAUAAGAUAUGCUGACGGUUUAAAAGUUGUUGUUUUAGCCAGACCACAUCCUAUUUGUGUCAGCCUACUAUAUUCUACAGUUACACUAAGAACGGAAGUACACCAGUACCAGUUUGUUUAGGUCACUACAACAUUGUGGCUAUAGUGGGUGGAUUAGGAUGCAACAUCUGUUUGUAUCUGCUGGUAUGGCAAUUUUGUUGCUUGCUAGAAGAUGUUCAUCUCCAGCGUUUAUUGCAGUUUCAAAAAGCAGUUCAAUCACCUCGUAAUAGUUAUGGUGUAGUAAGAUUUGGGUUAAAUAUCGGUUUGAUACACGUUGAAUUUUGACUUAGUCUCCAAAUAGAAGUUAUAGUGUACUUCUUAAGCUUUCUAGAGAGUAUUUAUUUGUGUAUUUUUACUGGGCAGUUUGAGAGCAGCGACCACCUCAAGUUUGCUGUCCAAAAAUUAGUAUCUCUAUUCGGACAUGAUACUACAAAAGAAACAAUGCAUUGAUACUUUCCCAGUUCCUUGUAUGUUUGCUUGCCAUUUACAUAUUUAACCUUCCAAAAUAGGGCCACGAGUCAUGUCAGGAAUGCCAUUGUAUUAUUACCAUACUUGAACUGCUGGCCGACGAUGGUAAUUCAGACAGCUAUAUUAUUUGCAUUGCUAAACUAUCCUGGUAUAUAUUUAGGAUCCUACGCUACUUAUUUAGAUUACAAAUAAAUUUUUCAUGUUAAUGUUUAUGUCGGUAUAUGUGCCAGCUUACACCCAGAUUUGUUUUACCUUAUGCAGAAACUAUUGGAUACUUUACAUCAAGCUUGACCAAGUAUGUCCCUUGUUGCUGUUGUUAUACCUGGCGAUAGAGCUCUAUUGGUUUCUUCAAAGGUGGCAUGCCAUGAUUGAUUUAUUACUCUGUAGAGUGUGUAAAGGUUUUUCUAUUUAUGACUAUUUGGUGCUUUUAUCUAGCAAGGCAGUAAGUUCUUUUGCAGGGACAAAUGGCAGAAAAUAGCAAGUCCACAAGUUGAUCUAAGAUGCUCCGUGAUCGCUUUUGUUGAUAACAUGGUUGACACCUUUUGUUCAUACAAAAGUUCAUGUUGGCUUGGUGAUCGAAGAAUUGGUCUCUGCCAUCAAAUUUGUAGUAGUCAGUGAUCGAACAAUUGGUCUCUUAGGAUCUUAGCCAUCAAAUUUUGCAACAACUUGUCUUGUAUGUCAAACUGAUGUAUUUCCUUGAUGGUUGUAGCUAUCUUGAGCGAAGAAAACAAAUGAAUCUUUAUAUAUGUUGAAUGAAUGUAUGGAUGAAUGGCAGUUUGUGAUGAAUAGAAG